rnacentral:lncRNA from 1 species
UGAGUAGGGCAGGAAGGUGAAAGAUGUCCAAUACAACCACAGUCUGGACACAUUGGAGUUGUAGUUUCAUAGGAUAUUUUCUCCAGAUGAGUUUCAAUGAGUACUUCUUGAGGUAAGGGUUUUCUGAUAGGUGCAAGUACACACAAGCGUGCAUAUCUUCCUCUGCUAGUAAGGGAAGUACAAGAAUCGAUCUGUAACAGCGAUCCAAUCAUGGUCCCGACUUUUUUCAGAAUUUCAGUGUCAUAGUAUUCUGUAGGUAAUUCAAGGAGACGAAUCCAGAUUGCGGAUGAAUGAUUUGUAUCAUCAGUUAUGGAAAAUUUUGGUUCCAAAUUCCGCACAGUAAUGUAUUAUGAACCAAGGACCUAGGUGUAAAACUUUGUGAUAGUUGUGGGUACGGGUGAAUCUGAUAAGGUAAUAAUCAUUGCCCAAAUUUAUAAGGUUCAGUGGUUCGAUAGGUUGCCAUAGCAGCUGAAGCUUAGAUUUAAGAAAAUUAUAGCCGAGUUUUCGUCCUAAAAGCUUCAUAAUAACAGUUUGUUGCCAAUUGGUGUAAAGUCUGCUUUUAUCAACAGAGGUUAGAGGGAUGAAGUGUGGGUGACUGGAGGAAUUUUCUUUUUCAUCAGAGAGGUCAAGGUUUUGGAGGGAUUGAUUAAGAAUUUUAAAGGGAGAGUUUUGAGGAGAGGUAUUGUGGGUUAGUUUGUCUCGAAAACUGAUAUUACUGGUAGUAGUUGCAGGAUUAAAAGAUUGAUCAGGCUUGUUGGUCUGCGAUGCAGUAAAUCUGUUUCUUCGUCAUUCAUUGCUCGGUCAAUGUUGGAAUCCAUAUGAAUAAAGUUGAUGAGUUACUUAGCACUUUUGUUGCUUCAAUCUGAUGGAAAUAACACUUCUUUUUCGUAUCUCUCUUUCGCUACCCCCUUUUUUUGUUUUUUUUAAUUAUGGUUUUUUUUCUUUCUUGUUCUUUGUGCUAG